rnacentral:tRNA from 1 species
UCUCGAUUGGUCUAGUGGUAAGGAUACCUGCUUGUCAUGUAUACAAUACGCAGGUGGCCGGGGUUCGAUUCCCCGAUCGAGAG